ACCGUCAGAAAAACAAAAACUUGGGGGUUGGGGCGCGAUGUCGGAGGCAGCGGCAGGCUGAUGCAAGGGAGGGGACGCGUGCUUCCAGCGACAGGGGUGAACCUCCAACGAAUCCCAUCCUCGACUUGCCGGGGCUCCAAUUUUCGCUGCUCGAGCUCUCCCAUGGCCGACCUCAUGAGUCCUCCUCUCCUCUGUCUUCCUUACGCCCACAUUGUUCUAUUGGCCCCCAGUAUGAGUGGAUGUCAUGCUGGUGGUCGCCGACCCAUCGGGGAGGUCGGCUACCUUCCGCGUCGCCUACUGCGGCACCGCAUCCGGGUCUUGCUGAUGUCUUGCCCUUCGUCACUGCUACACGUUCUGCAUCUUUCGGCUGUGCGCAUGCAUGGUGUGGUUUUGGGCGACUCCUUGCUCGGUCAGUUCGAUUUUUCGUCAGGUACGCUGCAUCAAUCACACCAAUAGUCUUCAUGUUGUUUGACCAGAUGUGCACAGGUACUCGGCCAGCAUGUGCACAAGUUGUCAUGCUGAAACUGUGCAUUCUCUUACUCCAUAGGAGCACGUCAAUGUUCUGAUUACUGUAGAGAUUUGUUUUCUCUCAGAUUUUAACUCUCGGAAGAGAGGACCGAAAAGCGCUGCAUAGACUGUAUGCAGACUUUCAAAUGCUUAAGUCUAAUGGAGACACUAUUCAAACUGAGAAGAGCCUUAGGCUAACUGUGAUUUGUGAGUGACGUACCUUAAAUUUUUAACUGUAGAAGAGAAUUUCUUUCUCCGUUCAGUUUUUUUUGCUUAAUAAAAGUAGUUCCCAAAUAGUUGCUGGUGGUUAUGGCAUGGCAAGUGUGCUGCUUGGAGCAAAGUAGUCAAUCCCCUGUUUUUUGUUCAGUUCUUUGUUUCAGGUUUAUUGGGUUGCUUCUGAUUUAUUUCGUUUCUGCAAUUCUGCGGGUCUUCAUGGAUGGCCUUCUACAAAUGCCUAUAUCUAGCAUUCUCUUGGUCUGAAGGCAGGUUCCAGGCAGAUCCGUCAUCAGGGAACCUAAGAGAGUAGCAAUGCAAAUAGCCUUGGUGAAAAAUUUCUCACCUCGAGGGUCUCGACGAAAUGUUGUUGUGCGUGUCACACGGAUCUGAGAAAACAAGGAUCAAGCACAAAAUCGGUAUGUGUUGGGAUUCAUUGUCAUUGACCAACCGGAGCUUCUUGGGCAUUCAAACACUUGAAUACUUGAUCCAGCUCACCUACAAAUGAAGUCCAUGCAGUUAGUUUGAUCUACUCAUUUAAUUACCUAUCAAUGUUUACUCUGCUUUUUCUGCAAUGCACCCAACCAGCUUUACCUUUUAGUGUACUGCAUGUUCAUUUGCUAAGUGGAUAUUUAGAAUCUUGACAUGUUGGUAUAGCAAUAUACCUGUUCCAAAAAUAUCUGAUAUGAAUGACAGGUACAAUGCAUAAACCCUUAGAGCCAAUACACUAACAUACAUGUUAUUUACUAAACAUGUGUGUGCAAAUUUGUUGCAGCCUCGGAAACAAAAUACCUGAACCAAUAGAGACAUGCUUUAUGCUCUGGCUAAACAACUAAUGUAAACUAUUUUGGUGAACAUCUCUCCAUUACUAUACAUUAUCUACAUAAUAUUAGUCACAUAAAACCAAUGAUUUUCUUUCAUGGGAAUCUAAUAAUUAAUCCUUGCAACAUCUACAGACCCAAACUAUCUGUUAAUUCAAAGGAUAUCAAGCCUAACGAGGAGAACAAAGAAAUAAUAGCUCUCCUCUAACAGCCAGUCCACUGAAGACAAACUUCGGUUAAUCAAGCCAACCGGUAAGUAAAUUGAGCAUUGCUGCCCAUGAUACUACAAAGCUUCUGCUCCAAAUUACAGCAUAUUGUACUUCACUAGACGUCAGAGAGAAACUUUUAUUCUAGACUAGCUCAAAUGGCCAUGCAGAGUGAAAGAAAAAAAGUUGAUUCAAAACCAUCAGCAUAACCCAAAUUUUACCCGAAGUCGAUCGACCCGUAACCCUAGCCUCAGUUCAUCAUUAUAUCCUAUAAUCUUUGAUUAUUUUUAUUUGAUCUACUCUUUUAUGCUUCAUUGCUAUUUUUUUCAUUCAAGCUACUAUUAGGAGCAAGGAUGAGGGAGACAUUAUCAAAUGAAGGCAUUGCAAAUCCAAGAGCCUUCAAUGUGUAACACUGGAGCACACAUUUAUGGUGCGAAGGACAAUUUGAAGGCCAAGAGCCGAACAAUAUAAUCAAGACACACAAUAAAAAGAGGUGCAAGGGAAUUACUUUGUAAAUGAGAGUUUGUCGUUAUGCGUUUGUUAGAUGAUCGAUCCUCGGCUCUAGAUGAAACUUGAGAAUAUAUGAAUUCAGGGGAAUACUAAAAUUUAAUAACUUCUCUGCAUCUUUUCGUUGCCU